rnacentral:rRNA from 1 species
UACGUAGGUGGCAAGCGUUGUCCGGAAUUAUUGGGCGUAAAGCGCGCGCAGGUGGUUUCUUAAGUCUGAUGUGAAAGCCCACGGCUCAACCACGGAGGGUCAUUGGAAACUGGGAGACUUGAGUGCAGAAGAGGGUAGUGGAAUUCCAAGUGUAGCGGUGAAAUGCGUAGAGAUUUGGAGGAACACCAGUGGCGAAGGCGACUAUCUGUCUGUAACUGACACUGAGGCGCGAAAGCGUGGGGAGCAAACAGG